rnacentral:rRNA from 1 species
AACGUAGGUACCGAGCGUUAUCCGGAUUUACUGGGCGUAAAGCGCGUUCAGGCGGCCCAGCCAGUCGGGCAUGAAAUCUCUCGGCUCAACCGGGAGGGGUUGUCCGAUACUGCUGGGCUUGAGGGCAGGAGAGGGUGGUGGAAUUCCGGGUGUAGUGGUGAAAUGCGUAGAGAUCCGGAGGAACACCAGUGGCGAAGGCGGCCACCUGGCCUGCACCUGACGCUGACACGCGAAAGCUAGGGGAGCGAACGGG